rnacentral:rRNA from 1 species
AACGGACGCUGGCGGCAGGCCUAACACAUGCAAGUCGAACGAAGUCUUCGGACUUAGUGGCGGACGGGUGAGUAACACGUGGGAACGUGCCCUUUGGUACGGAAUAACUCAGGGAAACUUGAGCAAAUACCGUAUGUGCCCUUCGGGGAAAGAUUUAUCGCCAUUGGAGCGGCCCGAGUCGGAUUAGCUAGUUGGUGAUGUAAAGGGUCACCAAGGCGACGAUCAGUAGCUGGUCUGAGAGGAUGAUCAGCCACAUUGGGACUGAGAAACGGCCCAAACUCCUACGGGAGGCAGCAGGGGGGAAUCUUGCGCAAUGGGCGAAAGCCUGACGCAGCCAUGCCGCGUGAAUGAUGAAGGCCUUAGGAUUGUAAAAUUCUUUCACCGGGGACGAUAAUGACGGUACCCGGAGAAGAAGCCCCGGCUAACUUCGUGCCAGCCGCCGCCGUAAUAC